AUGAACUUCUCUGGAAAACAAAGCCCUUUCUUUAGCCACAGAACAGGUACAGCAAAGGCAGUUGCCACACAUACACUUCUUCCACGUUACCCUGCCAGUGUGCCUAUCCUAACCUGGAGGGCCCACCACUACAGCGAGAAGAUUUUAGUUCAUACUCCACACACUCCAUUCAGUCACUGGUCUCU
rnacentral:sRNA from 1 species